GAUGAACGCUGGCGGCGUGCUUAACACAUGCAAGUCGAACGGAAAGGCUCCUGCUUGCAGGGGUACUCGAGUGGCGAACGGGUGAGUAACACGUGGGUGAUCUGCCCUGCACCUCGGGAUAAGCCUGGGAAACUGGGUCUAAUACCGGAUAGGACCAUCGUUUAGUGUCGGUGGUGGAAAGUUUUUUCGGUGUGGGAUGAGCUCGCGGCCUAUCAGCUUGUUGGUGGGGUAAUGGCCUACCAAGGCGUCGACGGGUAGCCGGCCUGAGAGGGUGUACGGCCACAUUGGGACUGAGAUACGGCCCAGACUCCUACGGGAGGCAGCAGUGGGGAAUAUUGCACAAUGGGCGCAAGCCUGAUGCAGCGACGCCGCGUGGGGGAUGACGGCCUUCGGGUGGUAAACUCCUUUCGCCAGGGACGAAGCGAAAGUGACGGUACCUGGAUAAGAAGCACCGGCUAACUACGU
rnacentral:rRNA from 1 species